rfam:Picea glauca, whole genome shotgun sequence.
GGGGAUGUAGCUCACAUGGUAGAGCGCUCGCUUUGCAUGCGAGAGGUAUGUGGUUUGAUACCCUGCAUCUCCA